CAGAAAUCAGCAUUGAAAAACUGCGCCAGUUGUCUUCCUCAUCAUUUCCUUGUGUUUUACAGCGUGUGAGAAGACAUCAAAGCACACAAAGAAAGAAGAAAGAAGCAGAUAAAACACCAGAAGAGGCAUCCAGUGCACCCCGGAAUUAUGUAACCAUGCCAUUAGAGGAGCGGAUCCAAGAUAAUAAAUGAUCCGGUCUCCUCCAUUUGUCCUCUCUGUCUCGGUUAAGGUAAAUGGUUCUUCACCACACUUCUUGUCUGCACACCUUAAUAGCAAAGUGAAUACAAUCAUUCUCUUUGCUAAACAUCAAGAUACCAAAGGACACAUUCAUAAAUAUGUUUCAUACACUAAAAAAGAUUUAGGUUUACCUUUCACUUAAUAUUGUACUAAUUUCUCUUUACAAACUGAACAGCCUUAGUUUAUAAAGAGAAACUUUUGACGCAGAGCCAGAAAUACCAGCAAUAUUACAGAAGACACAGCAGUUUAUAGUAUCAAAAGUUGUCCUGAUAUACAGUAGCAUCAGCAGAAGACAAAUGUCUCUAAUUGUUGAUAUGGACCAACCAGAGAUCUAUGUACAAGACAUACAUACAGCAUGAUUAACCAUUGAUUAAAAGCUGCAGUAUAUCAAUCUUAUUGACAUACUGCACUAAAAUAUGUAGUGUUUUAACAUAUUUGUUGAAACACUACGUUGUGGCAGUAGUAGAUGGAUAGUCUGUGAAAAAAAUUGAGCUCCUUUGCCAUCUUAAUUAUCCUGCUGAAAUUUGCAGAAAUACAUCAUCCCAUCAGAAAGAACCAAUUUGAGCCAGGAGGACGGUUUUAGUGUUGUGCUGUCAAUCACUCAUGUACAUGCUGCUCAAACAAUCUACCUAUCUCUCUGCUACACUGUUGCUGGUUCACCAUAACAUAGCCUGCCAUGAAUAAAUAAGGCUAGUUAGUUGUUUCUCUGCCAUUACCACAAUGAGCAGAGUGUACAUUAGGUUGAUUGACAGCACUAAGACCCUCCUCCUGGCUCCUGAUUGGUUGUCUUCCGGAGAGUGGCGCAUUUCUUCAGACACCAAUAAUAUCACUGGAAGGAGAUAGAGGAGCUUGUACAUUAUCUGCCUCAUACGAUUUUGUCACAAUAUGGUGACAAUUUAAAUAAAUAUAGCAUGUUUUUGUAAAAGUUACACAUUGUAGAUUUAAUAGAACUCAGUGGAACAUUUCAUGCCUCUUCUUGGCACUAGUGGUGUUUAUUCAUUAGUGGCUCGACAGGAAGAAGGGCAGAGAAAGGGGAGGACAUGCAGUAAAUGGCUUGGGGUCAGGACGCUAACCUAGGACAGCUGGAUCAAGGACUGUGUAUGGUACGCUUGCAGCACCACAUGGUUCCCUGUCUGAGCCGUAAUUUUAAGAAAAAUCUUUCCAAUUUUACUAUUUGCUGCAAUACACUAAAACUAUUUACCAUGUUGUUUUUUGAAAUCUUAUGAAGAGCUGCACUUGUAUUAGACUGUGGUUUGAAAAUGGAAUAUUGAAAGAUGAAAGCCAAGCUACUGAAAAGAAGUAAGCAUGCAAACAUUUCAAAGCAACACCAUUAGCUGUUUGACUGUAAAAGAGCUGGCAGCUUUCAGACCAGUUUCCAGGAAGAACAUUGAUUGUUAUAGUUAUAGAUUUUUGCUACUAAUUAAACUCUCAAUUCCAUCAACUAUCCAAAGUAACUGAUUUCUAUGGUUUCAAUCCAUGCUUUAGUAAAUGAUGAAUAAUAUUAAUAUAUAUGUGAUUUUUUUGCAGAAAUAAUUAGCUGGAACCACAACUACUAAUUCAUUUUUCAAAGUGGCUCUCUGUUGAGGCUAUUAUCUCAUCAGAGUCUUCAACCUUUUUUAAUAAUCCGGUAUUUCAAAUGUUUCUUUCAGCAGUUUGUGUCAAUUAUCGACAUUAGAAAAAACAGAAAAUUUUAUAUUAUAGAACAUUUCAAAGCUGCCUUCACAUUAUUGUUUCUAAACAUAAAGUCUCCUUAUGUGGAACUAAACAUGAAUUUAUACAGUUCAUAAUAUCAUAUCUGAAGUGAGUCUGAGUGUGUCUGUUUUUUUAUUAAGUAUAGUUUUAAAACAAUAAUCUGUUUGCAGCAUAGAUGGUGUCUCAGCAAAACGUGUUUAGAUUGGUAAUCAGUUCAUACUACCCAAUGACAUCCAAAUUCAGUUUUAAAAAUCCAAACAUCUUUGACUGCUACAAAGGUCAGGCAAGUCUGUUUUCUCUCACACCCUUGCAAACUUCCAUCUUUACCUACACCCACACUAACACGUUUCUGUACCAAAUCUUCAUGCUGACUGUCCUCCUAACUACUGCAGCCUGAUGCAAACCUUUCCCAACUGGGAAUCAUCAAAGGACUCGGGCAAAACAACGUGCAGCAUGUCCCAGGGUAGUGGGUGUUUUCUACAGCCUUUGUUUAGAAUUUAUUUAUGUUUUAUAGCUGCACUGCAUUUGUGCGAUAUAUGUGCAAAGUUGCAAAACUUAUGCCACUUCAAAAAUAAUAAAUAAAUAAAAUAGUGGCAUACCAACUCAGCUGAAGAUUAGUUUGUGUUUGCUACUGUAUCAGAUGCAUAGAAAGAAAAGUUCUCCACUUAAAGGCAUGCAAUGAUGUAGAAAUGCUAGUUCAACUAUGCUACUCAACUUUGAUAGUGGCAUAAUGGCUCUCUUAGCUUGUGUUUAAAAGCUCAAAUACAAACAGGUGCACCCAAAAAACCCUGUAAACGAAUCCUCUUUAGAUUUACUCUUCUGCACUAUUGCUUUGCCCCAUCUGUCACAGUAACCAUAAAAGGUUUCCUUUUUUUCAUAAAUCACUGGACCACUUUGCCUAAUCUUUGCAGGUCAUUAGACUGCAGUGGAAAACACAAACAACCAUCACCUGAAGAAGCAUUUUCAUUCCAGACUAAAGUGCCAGCUAUUUUGGUUCAGGUCCAGCUUUGAUUUCUUCCAUUCCACUUUAAGACAUUUAGACCUGUGUGACCUCUUGCCGCCGCUGUGAUUGCAAAAUGUUCUGAACUAAUCCCAGGCACUUCAGGUGUUCUUGGGUUUUGCCUCAUUCUGCUUGUGACCUUUAAUUAUUAUCAUUUCUGCCCUUUUUGUUGUUCCUACCCAGUCAUAUCAUUUUUUUUAUUUCUUCAACAGAUGACCCUCUCUUCUGCCCAAUUGCCUGUUUUGAAAAUCCUUCUACCCUGCAUUUAUCACCAGAAUUUCUCAAAAUAUCAUUUUCUUUGUUGUUUAUUUCAACACUCAGCCAGUUGACAUUUACCAACUGAGUCAGUGAAAGAUGCAAAGAAAUAUUGAGAUGGCGGAUGUUUGAGCAGAACCAAAGUGCAGACAAAACAUCCGGAACAAUAUGGUGACAUUAAUAUUAAGUGAUGAUAAAACUUGCAGCUGCACAUGAGGUGAGCAAGACAGGAAACCAUGUGAGGAUGCAGUCAAACAAACCUGCUAGAAAAAUUGAAAACCAGGCACAGGUUGAUAUGGAUACUCCUAGUAAAUUCAUGUAACUACUCUUUUCACAUAUUAAAAAAUAUACCAGUUAAAGCAAUUAAAUCAUUUUGAAAAGCAUCUUUAAUGCUUUUAAAAAGGAUGUGUUAUGUUCACAUACAGCACUGUAGGUGCAGAUCAUUUCAUACCAAAAAACUUACAAAAAAAUGUCUUGAUCAACUAUUCUACAAGCAUUUUUUCCUGUUUCCUCUUUGCUUUAUAUAUUGUAAAUUUUUGUAGGCUUUCUUGUCAUCCUAUUUUUCUGCUUUAAUUGACACUUGGUAAACUGUUUUUUUCCCGGUCCUUUCCAAAACAGCCCCAUGAGUUCCCUAUUAAGUACCACAUAGAUCCCAUCAAGAUUUAGGUACACCCAGGAGAUGGUGCUUAAUUACUGAAAUGGUAAACACACAAUGAUGUAAAUUUGCUAUCCUAAAAGGCUAGCGCUUUACACCGGGCCAUGUACCUCAUACUAGAACCCAUUUAAAUCUUAAGAUAUUUAAUUUAUGUACUCCCAAUGCAAAGAUUAGUUUCAUGUUUCUUUUUUUAAGCUAUGUAAUAUUGUCAAAAAGCAUUCAUGUGAUACUUAUUAAAUUUACACCAGGCAGGAAACUUAUUUAUUUUCAAACACUAUGAUGUUAUUGCACGUUGUCAUAUAUUUCAUGUAAGUUUAAAUUAAAAAACAAAACAAAAAAAUACAUGCUACAUUUGCUUGUUCUUAGUUAAGCCUAUUGUGUAUCUAAAAUGCUGUGUCAGUGUUUGGACAUUGGAAAACACCCCAUCACUUAAAUUAAAAUACUGAACUGGGAAGUACAACAUGGAGUGGUGGCAAUUGAGACAAGAGAUGGGGAAGAAAGAAUGAUGUUUGAGAGAGAAAUGAAAAAAGGAGUGGAAGACAAUGAGAGAACCAAGAGAAUAAAGGGAGGCGGCAGCAAUGAAAUAGUGGAUUAACAAGAACAGAGGUGGGCAAAAAGGUGUAAGAACAAGAAAAGCUUAGAGAAACAUUACAAGAUAGAAAGGGGAAAAUUAAGUUUCCACAAGCCAGUUAGACCUUUUCAUUACAGCCUUUUGUUGAAGUCUAGUGGAUGAAACUUCCCAAUGAGAUCAAUGAAUUCUUGCAUAAUUACUGCAUCAGUAAUCUGCCGAAGAAAGGCUGUUUCCUCUUUAAAACCCCCUCAAUAAAUGUUCAUUGCAUCACUCUUAUCAGGACAUUGUUUAGCAGAGGCGAUCAAAUAUGUUCUAUCACUUCUGACCGUCUUUGUGAAAAGAAAUUAAAAAGUGAUCCCUGAUGUCCAUUACUUACUGUCUGCUCACAUAAUAAACAUGUGACCUUUACUGUAAGCAAUAUAGUAGCGCCCACCUGUGCCCUUUUCCACUGAAAGGUUUCUACGUCAGAGGUGAACUCUUUUUGUUCUGAGGAAAGCUAUUCCAACAACAAUAAAUAAUUCUAAAGGGAUUGUUUACUUGGUAGAGCUUCUAAGGUUAAAUGCAUAAUUAGUAUAUUAAAGGGUAUCUUUUUGGAGCUUGUGUUUUCUCAAUAUCUGUAAUUUUACAUUUACACUGGCAAUAAGUGAAUCUGGAUUUGGAUGUGUUGAAUCCAUCCAACCUACCCUUUCUUAAGGAAUUUUUUUGGCACUACUGGCCUUUAUUUGAAAGUGAAAUGACAGGAAAGUAGGUUGUGAGAGAGGAGGAAGACAUGCAACAAAGGUCAAUGGGCCGGUACUCGAAAACGUGACAGCCGCGUUGAGGACUGAGGCCUCUUUACAUGGGUUGCGUGCCUUACUUCUGAGCUACUGCCACACCCAUCCAUCCUUCCCUUCCUUUGCAAUUUUAGGUCAAGGAAGCCAUUGGGCCUAGGAGGGACACCUGGGCAUUCUAUUCCCUGUGAUACUAUCCGGCCUGUCACCAAGUGAAGAUCCCGUGACCAGAGGCAUACCCUUCAGGUGUCACACCCUGUGCCUCUGGUCGCAGGAUGUGACAUCUGGUCACACCUAAAGGGAGGUGACCAGAGGCAUUGUGACUAGAGCCUGAUUGAAGAAGCAGAUUUUUGAUGAUACUUUUCAAU